AUUGAACGCUGGCGGCAGGCCUAACACAUGCAAGUCGAACGGUAACGGGAAGAAGCUUGCUUCUUUGCUGACGAGUGGCGGACGGGUGAGUAAUGUCUGGGAAACUGCCUGAUGGAGGGGGAUAACUACUGGAAACGGUAGCUAAUACCGCAUAAUGUCGCAAGACCAAAGAGGGGGACCUUCGGGCCUCUUGCCAUCGGAUGUGCCCAGAUGGGAUUAGCUAGUAGGUGGGGUAACGGCUCACCUAGGCGACGAUCCCUAGCUGGUCUGAGAGGAUGACCAGCCACACUGGAACUGAGACACGGUCCAGACUCCUACGGGAGGCAGCAGUGGGGAAUAUUGCACAAUGGGCGCAAGCCUGAUGCAGCUAUGCCGCGUGUAUGAAGAAGGCCUUCGGGUUGUAAAGUACUUUCAGCGGGGAGGAAGGGAGUAAAGUUAAUACCUUUGCUCAUUGACGUUACCCGCAGAAGAAGCACCGGCUAACUCCGUG
rnacentral:rRNA from 1 species